rnacentral:rRNA from 1 species
GACGAACGCUGGCGGCGUGCUUAACACAUGCAAGUCAAGGGGGGGCCGCAAGGCUCAACCGGCGAACGGGUGCGUAACACGUGAGCGACCUACCUUCUUGUGGGGGAUAGCCGGCCCAACGGCCGGGUAAUACCGCAUACGCUUGGUUUGGGGCAUACUGGACCAAGGAAACUUCCGAGGCAGGAAGAGGGGCUCGCGGCCUAUCAGCUAGUUGGCGGGGUAAUGGCCCACCAAGGCAGUGACGGGUACCUGGUCUGAGAGGAUGGCCAGCCACAUUGGGACUGAGAGACAGCCCAGACUCCUACGGGAGGCAGCAGUGGGGAAUCUUGCGCAAUGGCCGAAAGGCUGACGCAGCGACGCCGCGUGGGGGAGGAAGGGCUUCGGCUCGUAAACCCCUGUUGCCCGGGGCGAACAUCCUGUUUCGACAGGACUGACGGUACCGGGUGAGGAGGCACCGGCUAACUCCGUGCCAGCAGCCGCGGUAAUACGGAGGGUGCGAGCGUGGUCCGGAAUCACUGGGCGUAAGGGGCGCGUAGGUGGCCGACCAAGGUCCCGGUGAAAGCCCGGGGCUCAACCCGGGGUCGGCGGGGCCAACUACUG